GAUGGAUGACAACGAGGAUCACAAAACACAAACAUGUGCUCAUAUUCCACGUAUACCCGCAUGCGAGCUUUAUUCCCCGGUUUCUUUAUAAAGUUAUACGACACAGACCUCUUGUCCAUGAUGUGCAGCCAAGUCAGCGUUGGUUUAUGUUUUCUCGCCCUGGCUGCUCUUUCUUGUUGCCAGAUCGAAGACUUUGGCAAUAUUGUGACUAACAUACAGACAAACGUGGGAAGCGGACAGAACGUGACAGGUAACAUGGGAGGUCCCGGAGGAAAGAAUUCCAGCUUCCCAUUCCCAGGACUUCCCGGAUUCCCGAACAUCGGAAACUUUGGCCGUAAGAAGCGUAGUGUCCCGAGGCAUUGAGCUGGACACCCGCAAACAAGUUCAUUAGCCAAUAAAAGCUUUUUUCUUUUCUUUUUUUCA